rnacentral:rRNA from 1 species
CGCGGCCUAUCAGCUUGUUGGUGAGGUAAAGGCUCACCAAGGCAUUGACGGGUAGCUGGUCUGAGAGGACGAUCAGCCACACUGGGACUGAGACACGGCCCAGACUCCUGCGGGAGGCAGCAGUGGGGAAUCUUGCGCAAUGGGCGAAAGCCUGACGCAGCAACGCCGCGUGGGGGAUGAAGGCUCUCGGGUUGUAAACCCCUUUCAGCAGGGACGAAAUUGACGGUACCUGUAGAAGAAGCCCCGGCCAACUACGUGCCAGCAGCCGCGGUAACACGUAGGGGGCGAGCGUUGUCCGGAAUUAUUGGGCGUAAAGGGCUCGUAGGCGGUUCGGUAAGUCAGAUGUGAACGGUUGGGGCUCAACCCUAAGACUGCAUUUGAUACUGCCGUGACUAGAGUCCGGUAGAGGAGCGUGGAAUUCCUGGUGUAGCGGUGAAAUGCGCAGAUAUCAGGAGGAACACCGACGGCGAAGGCAGCACUCUGGGCCGGUACUGACGCUGAGGAGCGAAAGCGUGGGUAGCAAACAGGAUUAGAUACCCUGGUAGUCCACGCCGUAAACGUUGGGCACUAGGUGUGGGACCUUAUCAACGGGUUCCGUGCCGUAGCUAACGCAUUAAGUGCCCCGCCUGGGGAGUACGG